rnacentral:lncRNA from 1 species
AUGAAAAUCAAAUAUUUGGAAAAAUCUUAUUCGACCCUUACUGUCAACUGGAAGGAAGAGAGUCUGCUUAAGAAAAAACUCAGUCUUUUGGAGAACUUGAAAAAACAUGAAGCCAGAACCUGGCUGAUGGAGCAGAAAGCUGUGUACAGGCAAUAUUGCAAGAAGCUUUGGAGGUCCGAAUUGGCUCAUGCUAGGUUGCUAGGCAACCAGGACCUGGUCAGACGGCUCACCAAGGACAAGUUCUUUAGCUCCUAUAGCUCUGUGAUGGCAGGUGGUGAACCAGUGCAGAGCAGGAGAGACAAGAGGAAGACUCCCAUUCCAGGCUAUGAUGGCUCCAACAGGGAUGACUUCUCUCCUGCUACCAAUGGCAGUUUGUUGGUAGAGAAGGGAAGCAAGAAACAUCAAAACAGGUCUUUGGAAGCUUCAAAGAGAAAGUUAAAUCUCGAUGCAAAGCAAAGCAGCUUGGAAAGGAAUAUGGAAAGAAGGAAGUUAUCAGCCCGUCAGGAAUGGGGUAGUUUGGACAAACAACUUCAAUUUUAUCUACUGAGGGGUAAAGAACAGGAGGGACAGGAACAAAAAUCCAUCUCUGCCAAUUAUAGAUCUCAUUUUAAUCAAAGGCUGCCAAGUUCUUCAAAUCAGCAGCAUCUGGCUACCACCCAUGUUGGGUGGGAUAAGCCAGUUGACGGACAGGACACAGCCAGUGGCAGACCAAAAAACAAGUUUCUGGGACAUCUAUGUUACAGUGGUAGAAGAGAAAGUGGCUACCUAGCCAAAUCAAGAUUCAGCUCAAAAAAAGUCUUGUUGGGUCAGGAAGAGGAAACAUACACAUCCUUGCAGGCUGAAAUUCAGUCCAUGAUGAAUCAAACACCACAUUUUAAAGAGAAAGUCAAGCACUACCUUCGGAAAGUGGUGAUUCCACCAUGGCAUGCUCCUCUCCCAGAAGACCAUUACACCAAAGGGCCCCAAGGGAAGGGUGGAAAAGAUUCCUGUUAUGUCUGGGAUUCAAAGGCUGAUAUAGAGCAAGAGUGGAGGAAAUGGCUUCUGGUGGGACCAGAAUCUAGUUCACGAAGCAUUACCUUAAAGAAGCUAGAUUGGUGUUUUGCUCAAAAGGCUGCUACUCCAGAAAUCCUUUUCCUGGAGAAUUACAAUGCAAUCCUCACCAAAGAAAGUCUGAUAGAUAACAACCGUUACUGCUCAACUACCAAACUGUCCUAA